GAUGAACGCUGGCGGCGUGCCUAAUACAUGCAAGUCGAGCGAACGGACGAGAAGCUUGCUUCUCUGAUGUUAGCGGCGGACGGGUGAGUAAAACGUGGAUAACCUACCUAUAAGACUGGGAUAACUUCGGGAAACCGGAGCUAAUACCGGAUGAUAUUUUGAACCGCAUGGUUCAAAAGUGAAAGACGGUCUUACUGUCACUUAUAGAUGGAUCCGCGCUGCAUUAGCUAGUUGGUAAGGUAACGGCUUACCAAGGCAACGAUGCAUAGCCGACCUGAGAGGGUGAUCGGCCACACUGGAACUGAGACACGGUCCAGACUCCUACGGGAGGCAGCAGUAGGGAAUCUUCCGCAAUGGGCGAAAGCCUGACGGAGCAACGCCGCGUGAGUGAUGAAGGUCUUCGGAUCGUAAAACUCUGUUAUUAGGGAAGAACAUAUGUGUAAGUAACUGUGCACAUCUUGACGGUACCUAAUCAGAAAGCCACGGCUAACUACGUG
rnacentral:rRNA from 1 species